UAGGGGAUCAGGCUCCAGGAGGGGAAGAGGAGCGCCUGUGUUUUAGGAGCAGGGGCCUGGUUCGGCAGUGUGAGUGAGACCCAUGGUUCCCAUUGUACAGAUGGGAAGACUGAGACCUCGGAAGGCACCUACUCAAGAAGCGGGAAGCCCAUUCAUUCCAGGUGGGCCCAGGGAAGGUGGGGACAUACGGACACGUCAGGCAGAGUGGGAUGGUGAUGGGGCGUCCAUCGGGGGACAGGCACAGGCCCCAGGCCUCCCACCUCAGUGCUUAUGUUUUCUAGACCUUUGAGUGAGUGGAAGGCAGUUUCAGUGCUUGGGCUGGGGAUGAGCUGUGCUUUUGGCACAGAGUUCUUAAAUUCUCUUUGCUUUAGGGUUUGGGCUGCUGGGGAGAGCUGCUCGUGCCUCCCGGUGAGGCGGAGGUGGGAGAGCCUCGGCACACAGUGGAAACACACCUGGAUUUUUAAGCCCAUGCCUGCUGCGUGGCGUUGGGCAAGCCCCCUAGUAUCCGGGGGGACUCAGUUUCCUCAUCCGUACAAUGGGAUUCCCAGUCCCGGCUCCCUCAGCCUGUUCCCCAAAUGAGGGGAGGCUCGAAUGGGAUGGCAUGCUCUGGGAGGUGUGCAGUGUGUCACAAGCACGGCCACAGGUGACAGGGGUCAGCAGAGGAAAGCCUUGAGGUUAGAGCUGAUAGAGGGAUAGACAGAUGGAGAGAGAAGCCUGGAGAGAUCAAAGAAUCCCAGAGACAGAGAGAGAGGGAGAGACAAAGAGCGAUCACACAGAAACAAAGAGAGAGGGACAGAGAUGGACAUGGGCAGGAGGUGUAGACCCAGGAAAAAAGAGUCAGGCAAACUGCGUCAGGCUGUGACUUCCUGGAGCCCCGAUGGUGUUUUCCUGGCCAGCGGACAGCGUGGCAGGCUGGGGGCUGCCCUUUAGCCUGGACUCUCUCUCCAUCCAGGCCAAGAAGUUCCCCGGGGCUUCUCUCUGGCCUGGAGGUUCCCGCCUGGUCACCCUCUGCUUUUCUGUCGCACAGGGAAGCCUGAGCUGGCUGCCAGCCCCUUCCUCCCCCAUCCCCCAGCGCCCGGGACCGGCUGGUGCUGCUACACUCGGGUCUCCCGCUCCAGGAGCAGCCACGGCAGGUCCCCAAGGGCCUGGAGACAACAAAUGACUCCCCGCUGACGGGUUGCUCGCUGCCUCCUGCCUGCGAGCCCGUUCGGCUGCACACCGCACGCAGAUAAUCAUUUGUAUAUCCAGCUGGCGGAUGCAGAAGGAGGAAGAGGAGAAAGAUGAGAUGUUGGCCAGCCCUGAAGAGUGGGUGUCCUACCUGGCGAGAGAGCACAAGACACUGAUUGCUAAAGAGAGAGAGACAGAGCGCGAGCAGGGGAGGAGCACAGGGAGAGGG